AUUGAACGCUGGCGGCAUGCCUUACACAUGCAAGUCGAACGGCAGCACGGGUGCUUGCACCUGGUGGCGAGUGGCGAACGGGUGAGUAAUACAUCGGAACGUACCUUAUCGUGGGGGAUAACGCAGCGAAAGCUGUGCUAAUACCGCAUACGCCCUGAGGGGGAAAGCGGGGGAUCGCAAGACCUCGCGCGAUUAGAGCGGCCGAUGCCUGAUUAGCUUGUUGGUGGGGUAAAAGCCCACCAAGGCGACGAUCAGUAGCUGGUCUGAGAGGACGAUCAGCCACACUGGGGCUGAGACACGGCCCAGACUCCUACGGGAGGCAGCAGUGGGGAAGUUUGGACAAUGGGGGCAUGCCUGAUCCAGCAAUGCCGCGUGAGUGAAGAAGGCCUUCGGGUUGUAAAGCUCUUUUGUCAGGGAAGAAACACCGGCUCUAACACAGUCUGGGAAUGACGGUACCUGAAGAAUAAGCACCGGCUAACUACGUGCCAGCCGCCGCAGUAA
rnacentral:rRNA from 1 species